rnacentral:rRNA from 1 species
CAGUAGCCGCGGUAAUACGAAGGGGGCUAGCGUUGUUCGGAUUUACUGGGCGUAAAGGGCGCGUAGGCGGGCGAAUAAGUCAGGGGUGAAAUCCCAAGGCUCAACCUUGGAACUGCCUUUGAUACUGUUUGUCUUGAGUUCGAGAGAGGUAAGUGGAACUGCGAGUGUAGAGGUGAAAUUCGUAGAUAUUCGCAAGAACACCAGUGGCGAAGGCGGCUUACUGGCUCGAAACUGACGCUGAAGCGCGAAAGCGUGGGGAGCAAACAGGAUUAGAGACCCCUGUAGUCCCUGUCUCUUAUAC